rnacentral:rRNA from 1 species
GAUGAACGCUGGCGGCGUGCCUAAUACAUGCAAGUCGAGCGAACAGACGAGGAGCUUGCUCCUCUGACGUUAGCGGCGGACGGGUGAGUAACACGUGUAUAACCUACCUAUAAGACUGGGAUAACUUCGGGAAACCGGAGCUAAUACCGGAUAAUAUAUUGAACCGCAUGGUUCAAUAGUGAAAGACGGCUUUGCUGUCACUUAUAGAUGGAUCCGCGCCGCAUUAGCUAGUUGGUAAGGUAACGGCUUACCAAGGCAACGAUGCGUAGCCGACCUGAGAGGGUGAUCGCCCACACUGGAACUGAGACACGGUCCAGACUCCUACGGGAGGAAGCAGUAGGGAAUCUGCCGCAAUGGGCGAAAGCCUGACGGAGCGACGCCGCGUGAGUGAUGAAGGUCUUCGGUUCGUAAAACUCUGUUAUUAGGGAAGAACAAAUGUGUAAGUAACUAUGCACGUCUUGACGGUACCUAAUCAGAAAGCCACGGCUAACUACGUG